rnacentral:rRNA from 1 species
GCCGCGUGAGUGAUGAAGGUUUUCGGAUCGUAAAGCUCUGUUGUUAGGGAAGAACAAGUGCGGGAGUCACUGCCCGCGCCUUGACGGUACCUAACCAGAAAGCCACGGCUAACUACGUGCCAGCAGCCGCGGUAAUACGUAGGUGGCAAGCGUUGUCCGGAAUUAUUGGGCGUAAAGCGCGCGCAGGCGGUCUUUUAAGUCUGAUGUGAAAGCCCCCGGCUCAACCGGGGAGGGUCAUUGGAAACUGGAGGACUUGAGUGCAGAAGAGGAGAGUGGAAUUCCACGUGUAGCGGUGAAAUGCGUAGAGAUGUGGAGGAACACCAGUGGCGAAGGCGACUCUCUGGUCUGUAACUGACGCUGAGGCGCGAAAGCGUGGGGAGCGAACAGGAUUAGAUACCCUGGUAGUCCACGCCGUAAACGAUGAGUGCUAAGUGUUAGAGGGUUUCCGCCCUUUAGUGCUGCAGCUAACGCAUUAAGCACUCCGCCUGGGGAGUACGGUCGCAAGACUGAAACUCAAAGGAAUUGACGGGGGCCCGCACAAGCGGUGGAGCAUGUGGUUUAAUUCGAAGCAACGCGAAGAACCUUACCAGGUCUUGACAUCCUCUGCCACUUCUAGAGAUAGAAGGUUCCCCUUCGGGGGACAGAGUGACAGGUGGUGCAUGGUUGUCGUCAGCUCGUGUCGUGAGAUGUUGGGUUAAGUCCCGCAACGAGCGCAACCCUUGAUCUUAGUUGCCAGCAUUCAGUUGGGCACUCUAAGGUGACUGCCGGUGACAAACCGGAGGAA